rnacentral:rRNA from 1 species
AUUGAACGCUGGCGGCAGGCCUAACACAUGCAAGUCGAACGAGUGGCGGACGGGUGAGUAAUGUCUGGGAAACUGCCCGAGGGAGGGGGAUACCUACUGAAACCGUUAGCUAAUACCGCAUACAUUCGGAUGUCCCCAGCUGGGAUUAGCUUGUAGGUGGGGUAACGGCUCACCUAGGCGACCAUCCCUAGCUGGUCUGAGAGGAUGACCAGCCACACUGGAACUGAGCCACGGUCCAGACGCCUACGGGAGGCAGCAGUGGGGAAUAUUGCACAAUGGGCGCAAGCCUGAUGCAGCCAUGCCGCGUGUAUGAAGAAGGCCUUCGGGUUGUAAAGUACUUUCAGCGGGGAGGCGUUACCCGCAGAAGAAGCACCGGCUAACUCCGUGCCAGCCGCCGCGGUAAUUC